UGGAGGAAAAGAAACCAACCGGGAUUGCCUUAGUAACGGCGAGUGAAGCGGCAAAAGCUCAAAUUUGAAAUCUGGCACCUUCGGUGUCCGAGUUGUAAUUUGAAGAAGCUACUUUGGGGCUAGUCCUUGUCUAUGAACCUCGGAACAGGACGUCAUGGAGGGUGAGAAUCCCGUAUGGCGAGGAGUCUAGUCCUAUGUAAAGGGCUUUCGACGAGUCGAGUUGUUUGGGAAUGCAGCUCUAAGUGGGUGGUAAAUUCCAUCUAAAGCUAAAUAUUGGCGAGAGACCGAUAGCGAACAAGUACAGUGAUGGAAAGAUGAAAAGAACUUUGAAAAGAGAGUGAAAAAGUACGUGAAAUUGUUGAAAGGGAAGGGCAUUUGAUCAGACAUGGUGUUUUGCGACCCUCGCUCCUUGUGGGUGGGGAUCUCGCAGCUCACUGGGCCGACAUCAGUUUUGGCGGUAGGAUAAAUCUUUGGGAACGUGGCUUGUCUUCGGAGAAGCGUUAUAGCCCAGGGGAAUACUGCCAGCCGGGACUGAGGACUGCGACUUUUGUCAAGGAUGUUGGCAUAAUGGGU
rnacentral:rRNA from 1 species